UCUUAGUAAACUAUUAUUGAAAGAUCAGGCAAUAGGAUGUCCAGAAUUCAAGUGAGUGUAUGCUUAUCCGCUCAUGCUUCCUAUCUUUUUUUCAUAUCACUCUUCCUGAAGUUACUGAAAGUCUGAAAUAACAAACUUUCAAUCUAAUGCAGAAAUGCUCAUAAAGUCAAAGGUCAUCCUUCUCUUCAGAAAGGAUGAUGCAAUGAGGUGCAUGACAUAGAAGAUGUUAUAAAAGUUGGACAAUUGGUGAAAGGUAUGCUUCAUUUGCAAGAAAAAGCAGUUUAGGUGUGUUAGGUGUAAAGUAGCUUUCCAUAGUAAAUGUUCACCAUGGUCAGAUUCAAUGUUGCAACUAAAAGAUCAUCCUGAGCAUACUGUUUGCUGGAGGCAUCUUUCUGAUUGGCGCUUGGAUAGGAAGGUUGGUUGACCGGAAUGUUGUAUUUGUUGGAUGAGCAGCCUCAUGCUUCGACAAGUGACAUUUCUGAAGUAUUUUGUCGAUUGCCUCUUCCAUUUAUCAGUGAGGAGUUUAAGAUUGACUUCACUUGGAAAGACAUGGACAGUAAGAUGGAGCAGCCACGAUUAUAGCUUCUUUAUAUCAAGAUUUUUGUCUUAAAAAAGUGGAAGUACAUAAAGAUGUCUGAUCUUCCAUUCCAAGUUGGGGAUUUGGCUGAGUCAAGAUGCUUUGAAAAGGUGGUUAUCGUGGUGCAUGGUUAAGAUGCAAGGUCUUGCAAUGCGUGAAUGAGGUGCAUUCUCUUUGUAGUGUGUUUGGGUUGGAUUUUGGUCAGACCGUGGGUGAUGUUCACCGAAGUUUGCAUGGGACUCAGGUGGAACAGUCGACUAAUAUUAGCAAUAGCACAUUGGAAGGUCUAGAGCAGGCCAUUCUCAAGUUAAAAAUAGAAAGGAAAACUAUAAUUUCAGAAGCUGAAGGAUGUUGUAGCAAAACUAUUUGAACUUUGGAAUUUGAUGGACUCUUCAAAAGAAGAGAGAAACUGUUUUAUGAAGAUUACUUCUAUUGUUGAAACCUCAGAAUCAGAAAUCACUGAACGAGGUGUUCUUUCAACAUAAAUGAUAAAGAAGGCUUCAGCAGAAGUGGACAGGCUUGCCAAACUAAAAGCAAGCAGAAUGAAAGAACUUGUUUUUAAGAAGAGGUCAGAGUUAGAGGAAAUAUGUAGAUUGAUUCAUAUUGAACCAGAUCCAAGUACUGUGGCCGAGAAAGCUAGUGCAUUAAUAGAUUCUGGACUGGUGGAUCCUUCUGAGCUAUUUAGCCAAAAUAGAAGAACAGAUAAUUAAGGCAAAAGAUGAAGUUUUGAGUAGAAAAGAAGUAACAGAUAGGAUUGAUAAGUUGUUUGCUACAUGUGAAGAGGAGAAUUGGCUUGACAAAUAUAAUCAAGUAAGCCAGAAAUUAUAUUUUAUCAUUUGUAUAGCUUCAUAAGCAUGAUGGUACGACACAGGCCUACCAGGGUUUUGCCUUCUUUAUUUGUUUUUAGAUCUCUUUAUUUUCUUGCCCAAACUCUUGUACUUUUAUUGGAAGUUUCAAAUGAUAUUGAAUACAUUGUAUUUUUCAUUAAAAAAAGAGAGAU